rnacentral:lncRNA from 1 species
GUAAGUAAUCAGCGUUGUGAAGUUUUGCCAGAAGAGUAAGAGCAUCCAAGGUGAUAUAGAAUGAUCUCGAAUUCCAUUCCCAACUACCACCACCACCAGUUCUGAGUUCUCAUCCAACAACCAAACUGGAGGUGGAGGACAAGGAGCAGCUACUGGCUGGUACAAACUCAGACUGGCUUGUUCAAGCUGUGAACUAUGGGGCUAGAGCCUUGCUGAUCAGUCUGAGCCAUAGACAGGUCUGUCUAUCUGUAAAAACUUAACUGGACUUAACAGAUUUCUGGCUCCAAGUGGGAAAAUGAAGUUUAUCAAUGGAAAAAAAAUGGCACAGGAGAAAGAGGAAAAUCAGAUGUCUUAGCACUAUAGGAGUGGCAGCAUGGUUCAGAUUUUGGAAACUGAUGCAAAAUGAGCAACACAUGGAGAGAAACAAGUCUUGUAUGUUUAGUGACUUUAUAUUCUUGGAAUAAAUCUAUGUCCUCAGAUCUGCAGAAGAAAGUAAGUGAUAAACACAUAUAUAUAACUAAAUAUUGAAAUAAACC